rnacentral:rRNA from 1 species
UUUAUUAUGAGAGUUUGAUCCUGGCUCAGGACGAACGCUGGCGGCGUGCCUAAUACAUGCAAGUCGUACGCUUCUUUUUCCAUCGGAGCUUGCUCCACCGGA